UACAGAGGUCUCAAGCGUUGUUCGGAUUCAUUGGGCGUAAAGGGUGCGUAGGCGGCGCGGUAAGUCGGGUGUGAAAUCUCGGGGCUUAACUCCGAAACUGCAUUCGAUACUGCCGUGCUUGAGGACUGGAGAGGAGACUGGAAUUUACGGUGUAGCGGUGAAAUGCGUAGAUAUCGUAAGGAAGACCAGUGGCGAAGGCGGGUCUCUGGACAGUUCCUGACGCUGAGGCACAAAGGUCAGGGGAGCAAACGGG
rnacentral:rRNA from 1 species